UUCCUGCUUUGCCGUGGUAACUAAGUCUUUUCUGCGUGCCCCUGCGGGCGUAGGGCUGGGGCUGGCCCGCGUCAGUGUGUUUGAAAAGCUAGUGCUGAACAUUUUGCAAGUGCUUCAUGAAUAUUUAUUGCAUGAAUAGUUGAACGUGGCCUUGUGGAACUGGAAUGCAGAGCUCAUGAAGGAGAACAGCAGAAGAUAAUGGUGAAAGGAAGGCAACUGGCACAUUGUGAGCUGCCCUAUGGAGUGGAUUACAUGGCAAGGAACUGAGGGAGACCUCUGGGCAACAUCCAUUAAAGAACUGAGGCCCUUAGUCCAACAACCUGGAGGAAGUGAAACCUCCAGCAACCUGUGACUGACUCUGGCAAAUUCUCCUCCAUCAACACUUGAGGUAUGACUGCAGCCCCAGCCAACAUCCCGACUGCAACAGGAGGGACCUUGAGCCACAGGCACCCAGUUAAAUUGCACCCACAUUGCUGACCCACAGAAACUGUGUGAUAAAUAUUUGUUUUAAGCCACUAAGUUUUGGGGUAAUUUGUUACGGCAAUAAAUAACUAAUAUAUCUACCUACUCACAUAAUUUUGAAAAUAACAUAAUAUCCUAACAG